GUGGUCCCUCUUCCCUCUUCAUGCCCAAAAGGUUGGGCAUCCAUCUGGUGCAAGAUCAAGGUGUGGUGACUCCUUGAACAGGAAGGCUGCAGGAGUUCUUCGACAAGUUGCUGAUCCAACUUCAGAAGACUUUUGAAGAUCUUCCUAAUCAGAUUUAGUUUUAAUUUUUGGAGUAAAGAUUUGUGAGGAGAAUUUGAUCUAGAUCUUUCCUGAGUGGAUACUGGAGAGGCCA
rnacentral:lncRNA from 1 species